AAAAAAAAAAAUAAUUCUGAGUUGUUAGGGAUUUUCUUUAUUUUGAUUCUUUAUUCAAAAAAAAAAAAAAAAAAAAAAAAAAAAUCUGUUAACAUUUUGCAACUUGUCAUUUUAGGGCACAUAAAAAUUUAUAUUUCUUGGUUAAUUUAUCUUAAUGCAACAUUGAAUAUGGUUCACCAUUACUGCUUUUCAGUCAUUUAUGAAAACAGGAGAAGAAACAAAGAACUUAACCCCACAUAUGUAUGGCCAAAUUAAAUGUAUAACUACAAAAUGAAGUUACACAAAAAAUUGUUGCAGUCAAAUACAGUAUUGUCAAGAACAAGUUUUAUUUUUGGCAAUAUUAGUGUAUAAUAUUUUAGGAUCACAUUAUUUUUAAAAAUAUAAGAAUUACAGUGAUGAAAAAGCGAUUCAGCUUUUGACAACAAGGUGAAGAAAACUGCAAUAGGAUAUAGACAGUAACAAAAUAGGAACAGUUGGCAGGUAGUAAUUACUUCGUUGUUACCUUCUUACAACAACAGGAAAAAGUGCAACAUCAUGACUUGUUCAGUUCAGGACUGAAUUUUCAAACAUGUAGAAUGCUUGUGGCCAUAUAUGACAUAAGGUCUCAGAUUAAAAAGGGAAAUUACUUUUUAAUCUUAUUAUUCCAUUCACUCUUAUGCAUAAACAUAGAUCAUGCUAAGAGCUUGGCAGUCCUAAUUUGUUAAUUUAAUUAUUACGCUUCUGCAAUGCUUCUCAAUAGUAAGAGAUACUCAAAUAUUUCACCAAGCUAGAAUGAUUCUAUUGAUCUCAGAGGAGCUAUUGUAUUGUAUAAUUAAUACCAGUGUAAUCAAACUAAGAGUUUAUUUUGUAUGUCAUUAGAGCCCAUUCCUACUCUACGUGCUAUAAAGGGACAUGAGUGCUUACAAAACUGUAGAAACCAGAUCUGUAAAACAGCUUUGUCAGGUUUUACUCAUCUAUUUGCUUGGUACUACAGUUAAGCACCCAUAAUAAUGUUUUUUAUAGCUAAGUACACUCUUUCCUGUGAUAAAUAAGGAACCCUGCAGGGACUCAAAAUAUAUGAAAUUACAAAAUAAUUACUUUAAAAAUGUAAUUUUUUCAACAGUAAAUUAUACUGAGUGGUGAAGUGCCAUGGGUAUAUUGUAUCUGAAAAACACGUUGCCUCAGACAAUUUUAAACUGAUUUCGUUCUUUUUUAUUUCUGUACCUACAAAAAUAUUUCAUACCACUUUAUUUCAGUUACAUGUUCUCCAUUUUGUUUCAUAGCUUAUUCUUUAGCAAAGGCAAGCAGCCCUCAGUACUAGCUCUUUAGAGUGCCAUCAUUUUCUAGGCAUUCAUUCUCGAGGUUAGCAUUUAUUAGUCCUAAUGUUCCAUAUCUUUCCUCCUACUCCCUUGUACAUACCUUUUUCAAUCUAUCUGCAAAGCAUUUUUGUUCUGUACUUUCAGAUCCCUACUGUAAAUUUUCUGAUGCACGUAAAUAAUUUACUAAAUUGUCACCCGUAGGUAUAAAUUUUAAGUCCAUUUGCAUGUCUGAGUUAACACACCUUUGUACUCUUUCUUCCACUCUGAAAACUGUCUGUUAUUAGAUUGACAGUUUCUUGGGGUCUUUUGCAGCCUAGUAUGUCAGUAAUUCUUAAAAAAGAUAAUUAUUUCAGAAGUUUAUGUGGUGAAGUGUUGAAAGAUUUUCUAUUUCCACCAUGAUUUGUAAAAAAGGCAAGCAAGGAACCACUUUCUCUUGAUUUUCAGUGUUCAUUUAACAACGAAGCAUUACUUACAAGCAAUGGCCAGGAAACACACUCAGAUAUGUGCUCCUAAUUUGUUGAGGUUUCCAAAACUAAGCUCUUCAGAAUUGUACUCCAAGUCUUGUUUUGAUCUUUUUUUUCCACUAUCUGGAAGGCAAAACUUAGAGAGAGUGGUAUUGAUUUUUAUCAGUUAGUAAAAAAAGGCAAGCUUUUGGGCACACAAGCCUGGAUCUUAAAUGCAAGCAGCCCAGC
ensembl:lncRNA